ensembl:lncRNA
GGUAGGUAGUCUAGUGGUUAGAGUGUAGAGGAGGUAGGUAGUCUAGUGGUUAGAGUGUAGAGGGGGUAGGUAGUCUAGUGGUUAGAGUGUAGAGGAGGUAGGGUAGUCUAGUGGUUAGAGUGUAGAGGGGGCAGGUAGUCUAGUGGUUAGAGUGUAGAGGGGGCAGGUAGUCUAGUGGUUAGAGUGUAGAGGGGGUAGGUAGUCUAGUGGUUAGAGUGUAGAGGGGGUAGGUAGUCUAGUGGUUAGAGUGUAGAGGAGGUAGGGUAGUCUAGUGGUUAGAGUGUAGAGGAGGUAGGUAGUCUAGUGGUUAGAGUGUAGAGGGGGCAGGUAGCCUAGCGGUUAGAGUGUAGAGGAGGCAGGUAGCCUAGUGGUUAGAGUGUAGAGGAGGUAGGGUAGUCUAGUGGUUAGAGUGUAGAGGAGGUAGGUAGUCUAGUGGUUAGAGUGUAGAGGAGGCAGGUAGCCUAGUGGUUAGAGUGUAGAGGAGGUAGGUAGUCUAGUGGUUAGAGUGUAGAGGGGGUAGGUAGUCUAGUGGUUAGAGUGUAGAGGAGGUAGGUAGUCUAGUGGUUAGAGUGUAGAGGAGGUAGGUAGUCUAGUGGUUAGAGUGUAGAGGAGGCAGGUAGCCUAGUGGUUAGAGUGUAGAGGAGGUAGGUAGUCUAGUGGUUAGAGUGUAGAGGGGGCAGGGUAGUCUAGUGGUUAGAGUGUAGAGGGGGCAGGUAGCCUAGCGGUUAGAGUGUAGAGGGGGCAGGUAGCCUAGCGGUUAGAGUGUAGAGGGGGCAGGUAGCCUAGCGGUUAGAGUGUAGAGGAGGCAGGUAGCCUGGUGGUUAGAGUGUAGAGGAGGCAGGUAGCCUAGUGGUUAGAGCAGGUAGCCUAGUGGUUAGAGCAAGUAUCCUAGUGGUUAGAGCAGGUAGCCUAGUGGUUAAAAAUCUGUCGUUCUGCCCCCUGAACAAGGCAGUUAACUCACUGUUCCUUGGUAGGCUGUCAUUGUAAAUAAGAAUUUGUUCUCAACUGAU